GGGGGGGUUGUGAUUGGCUGAUGUGGCGAUAGAGGCGGGAGAAGCCGGAGUUGAAUUGGCCGUUGGGCGGCGAGGGACAGGAGCCGCUCCUGAGGUAGUUUCCACGUUUGGGCCUGUCAGUAUUUUCUCCUGAAAAGGCUCUUUCGUCGCUUCGACGACCUACAGUUAUGCGGGGUGACUUACAACGUGAACUCCAUGGUUCUAUGAAAUACAACCAAAACGGCACAGCACCAGCCCUUUCCAUUUCAAAGCAGCCAUAGUUCCCAAGGACCUUUCAUUAAAAGCAGCAGCAGCAGCCAGCUCACAUGCCAACGGCAGAAGGACCCAAGGAGGGAGCCAGUCUGGCUUCUCCAGAGUGUGGGAACAGCCACUGAGAAGGCCCCUUUGGCAGACACACUUUGACUUGUUACCAUAAGCGUUGUAUAAAUAUACCAGCAAUGAACUUAGACACUGCUGUGGAUACCUUUUUGUUCCAUCAGGCUUUCUAUGAGGGGGAUCCAUGUGAUACUGCAUGCCUGGUGUGUACCUGCUCUCUCAUUCCCAGCAGGUGAUCAGCAUAAGAAACCCAGUGUGACCAAAAGACACACCAAUAUUGUAGCCUUGUAGAUGACGAAGAAGAAAAAUAGCUGGGUGUGAUGUGGAUACCGAUGUUCAAGUAACCUCUAAAGCUAGACAUCAAGUGAGGAUGGGG